rnacentral:rRNA from 1 species
GCCAGUGUCUAUAUGCUUGUUUCAAAGACUAAGCCAUGCAUGCCUAAGUACAGCUCGAUACUUGUAUCGGGCGAAACCGCAGACGGCUCAUUAAAUCAGUUGUGGUCUAAGUGGGCGACAGUUUUCCCUAGUUGGAUAACUGUGGAAAAUCCAGAGCUAAUACAUGCGACACAAAGUCCUCAGGAGACGCUAGCUUUACCCCUGGUAAACUCCUUUGGAUGCUUUUAUUAGACCGAAGCGCGCGCAUUCGGGACUCAGCACCUCGUUUCGGCGGGGCUGCGGUUCUCCGUGCGACGUAGUAAGCGCUUGAAGGUGACUCUGGAUAACAUUGAUAAGCGUGGCUUAAUUGCUACGCUGCCUACUUACGAGUGACUGACCUAUCAGCUAGGAAGGUAUGUUAUACGCAAACCUUGGCACUGACGGGUAACGGGGAAUCAGAGUUCGAUUCCGGAGAGGCAGCCUGAGAAACGGCUACCACGUCUAAGGACGGCAGCAGGCACGCAAAUUACCCAAUCCCAGCACCUGGGGGAGGUAGUGACGAUAGAUACUGAUGCGGGUCGUUCUUCGGAACACUCGCAAUUGGAAUGGAUAUUUUCUAAACACACUAAUGAGAACCUACUGGAGGGCAAGCCUGGUGCCAGCAGCCGCGGUAAUUCCAGCUCCAGUGGCGUAUGCCAAUGUUGCUGCGGUUAAAAGGCUCGCAGUUGAAUGUCAGUUAAUAUACGCGUAGAGGUGCCGGGACGUUGCGAGCUUCUUUCGUCAGAUCGUAGCGAGCCGUCUCUCCAAGUGCAUCUCUCGCGGGCUAACGAUUCGAUUAACGGGGUCGGCGAUCGGGACCCGCAAGGGAUUCGGUCUCCAAUACCCUGUUAGUUGACACCUUGAGUAAAUCAGAGUGCUUAAAGCAGUCGUUGAAACACUACGGCUGCGGCUUACCCUUGCGGGCUUAGUCGUGUGUCUGGUGACGGUGCGAGCCGUUUGGACAUUGUCUUUGCUUUGCAUGGUACGUCGAAAGACGCCGUGUGAGUUGGUUGCGCUUAUGGUGUCUGGUGUCGUAUGGGUAAAGUAUGCGCGGGCGCCAACAAGCACGGAAUGAUCUGAAAGGGAUGGCUCGAAGGCAUUGGUAUUGCGGGGCUAGAGGUGAAAUUCUAUGACCCCCGCAAGACUACCCGAAGCGAAAGCGUCUGCCUAGGACGUCUUCAUUAAUCAUGAACGAAAGUUGCAGGAUCGAAGGCGAUCAGAUACCGCCCUAGUUGUAACUGUAAACGAUACCAACCAUCAAUCCGUCAUAGCGUUCUCUUUUGCUUAGGGAGGCGAACUUGUUCUCUUCCUAAGCUGAGUGUAAGCGCUCGAUGGGCAGCUCUAUUCGGACGGAAAACCAGAGUUUUUCGGUUCCGGGGGGAGUCUGGUUGCAAAGCUGAAACUUAAAGGAAUUGACGGAAAGGCACCACCAGGCGUGGAGCUUGCGGCUCAAUUUGACUCAACACGGGAAAACUUACCAGACCCGAACAUCUUUGAUGAUUGACAGAUUGAAAGUUCUUUCUUGAUAAAGUGGAUGGUGGUGCAUGGCCGUUCUUAGUUGGUGGAGUGAUCUGUCUGGUUAAUUCCGAUAACGAACGAGACUUUCCCCUGCUAAUGAACUUUGUGUUCUUUUAGACAGUGCGAUUCGGAACAAGGACCCAAGAGCGUAAGCUCCGGGACCGGACGAUGUCCACUGAUCCUUGGCGCGUCGUUUUUGCGUGCUUGUGCGCGUAGCCUUCUGGUCGCGUGUGCUUGCGUGCGUCUUCGGCAAAGCGUCUUGGAGUACGUUUCUUCUUAGAGGGAUUGACGGCUUUUAAGUCGUAAGAAACAGGAAGCAAUAACAGGUCUGUGAUGCCCUUAGAUGUUCUGGGCUGCACGCGUGUUACAAUGCCGGUAUCAACGGGUUCUUACACUUCUCGUGGCCUACUCCGAAAGGAGCGGGUAAACCUGUGAAAUACCUUUUGCGCUGUUUCACGAUAGUGCUAGCUCGGCAUGCUUGGGACUGGGGAUUGCAAUUAUUCCCCACGAACUAGGAAUGCCUAGUAGUGGCGAAUCACAGAGUUCGCUGCGACUCUGUCCCUGCCCUUUGUACACACCGCCCGUCGCUACUACCGAUUGGGACCUAAGCUAAGCUUUUUGGAUCGGCGAAAGGAGGACCAUCCCAUUGGCACUAGACGCCGAGAAGAGACGCGA